UACAGAGGGGGCAAGCGUUAUUCGGAAUUACUGGGCGUAAAGCGCACGUAGGCGGCUUUCUAAGUCGGGGGUGAAAUCCUGGAGCUCAACUCCAGAACUGCCUUCGAUACUGGAAAGCUCGAGUCCGGGAGAGGUGAGUGGAACUGCGAGUGUAGAGGUGAAAUUCGUAGAUAUUCGCAAGAACACCAGUGGCGAAGGCGGCUCACUGGCCCGGUACUGACGCUGAGGCGCGAAAGCUAGGGGAGCAAACGGG
rnacentral:rRNA from 1 species